AACCCGUGAUUUGGACACCUCUUCAAGCAAACCUUGAACCGUUCCCAUGCAUCAUACAAAGUCUCAUUGUCACCUUGUUCAAAGUUACUAAUCUCAGCUCUUCUCU